rnacentral:rRNA from 1 species
GACGAACGCUGGCGGCGUGCUUAACACAUGCAAGUCGAACGGUGAAGGGGUCUGCUUUUGUGGGCCCUGGAUGAGUGGCGAACGGGUGAGUAACACGUGAGUAACCUGCCCCCUUCUUCUGGAUAACCGCAUGAAAGUGUGGCUAAUACGGGAUAUUCUGGGUCUGUCGCAUGAUGGGUCUGGGAAAGAUUGCGCCUUUGGGUGUUUUUGGUGGGGGAUGGGCUCGCGGCCUAUCAGCUUGUUGGUGGGGUGAUGGCCUACCAAGGCGGUGACGGGUAGCCGGCCUGAGAGGGUGGACGGUCACACUGGGACUGAGACACGGACCAGACUCCUACGGGAGGCAGCAGUGGGGAAUAUUGCAAAAUGGGCGCAAGCCUGAUGCAGCGACGCCGCGUGAGGGAUGGAGGCCUUCGGGUUGUAAACCUCUUUCGCCAGUGAAGCAGGCCUGCUCCUUGUGGGUGGGUUGACGGUAGCUGGAGAAGAAGCGCCGGCUAACUACGUG